GGUUAAGUAAAAUCUUAAUUUAAAAAGGAAUACAGUACCAAAAAAGUAAAUUCAGUGAUUACUCUCACCAAUGGUCUACUUCUAACAAUUCCUUGCUCAAAGUCUUAUAUUACCAUAACUUGGAAAACAUUAAUUCUCAUAUAUGAAAUGAUAAAAUUAUAAACUAGCUUUAACACUCAGAAAAUUUAGAAUGGUUUAUUACAAAGAUGGUUGAUAAAAAUUUUAAGGUGGUGUUUGAAAAAGCCCAAACGUGUUAAGAUCACAAAAGGAAAGAGGAAGUCUAAUAAUUUAAAAAUUUAGGGCCAUUAAGUAAAUUGAGAUUUAGAGAGGAUCACAGAUUUUAAACUUCAUUCAACCAUGAGAUUUAAUAUUUCCGUUAUGUUUAGAAACCAAUUUUUUGUUUCAUUUCUUACACCCCAGAGUUUCAAGGAAUUUACUUUCAUACUACUCAAAAGGAAAAGGAAUCAGUUCUUCCCAUGUCACACUGACCUACCCCUGAGGAAGGAAAAGAAGUUUCAAGAGUCACCAGAAUGUUUGUUUCUCCACAAUCUAGUCUGUUAGGGUCAUAUCAGGACUUGUGGAUAUCCAAAGACCUGGUAAUAAUUUUAUUUACAAUUUGAUCAUCAGUGUCCAGAUUAAUAUUCAUAAAUGUUUUAUUAUGAAAAAUAUUCAUUCUACACCUAACUAUGGGCACAGUGUAGGGUUUUUACCUAGUGUAGUAAAACAAGCCCCAUUAAAACACAACUUGUGCUUUAGAUGUGCUACAAGUUAAAUCAUGGCCCACUAAGAAAACUAAUGAAGUCCUGAUAUACCUCACUUAAGCUGUGAGAUAGGUGUUAUUCAUUAUCACCAUCAUAAACCAUAUAAAACUUUUCUCAUUAGUCUUAUAAGGUCUUCAUAGUAAAUACAAUGCUAGGCCCAUAUAUGGGUAAAUGUCGAUACCUGUUGGAAUAACUCAGAAAAAAAAUAAGUGCUGGGGGGAAAAUGGCUGGUAAUAAGUAAGAGAAUCAACACUAUUUUUUGAAGGCUCUUUGUUCAAAGGAGAAGAGACUCACCAAAUACAUUUUAAUUUCAUUUAUUGUAAUUUGAUUCAAGGUUUAUCUUGACCUGGGCACCUGCCACCACCAAAGAAAGAUCUUUCUCUGAACUAGCACUAUCAGUUAAAUGCCUCAACUGAAUUAAUUAGUCCACAAAUGUUGAUACUAACUGGGUGCUAAACAUUGUUCUAGGCUCUUUUUGUGUGUUAAUUCAGUUAACCUUCACAACAAUGUUAUAUUCUCUCCAUUAUACAGACUGAAAAACAGAAUGCAGAAAGAUACAGUAACUUACCUAAUUCACACAAGUUUCUGCAAAGUCAUAGAACCCAUGAAGCCAAUUCUGUGACAUUUUGUAUUUCUAUUCCCCUUAAGCCCAAGAACAACUUGAGGACAGAUGUCACAUCUUUUCGUGAUGAUAUCUCCAAAGGCAUAACAAUGUUCCUCUAUGCUGCAGGUGAAUGUUGUUUGGAUGAAAUCCAGAGAAGCAUAGGUGAUUUUAAGUUGUAAAUGUUUCUUUUUCUUAAUUCUUUUCUCCCAUAGAGAAUUUUGCUCAUCGAACUGCAGUUCAGAAAGCCUUGGCUAAAGAUAAGGAAUGGCAAGAACAAUUCCUCAUUCCAAAUUUGGCUCUCAUUGAUAAGCAAGAGAGUGAGAUUACUUACCUGGUGCCAUGGUGCAAAUUAGAAAAGCCUCCAAAAGAGGGUAAGUCACUUUCCUUCUUCACCACUUAGAAUUUAGAUGAAUGAAAUACUAAAGAUCUUAAGUGAUAAAAGGUGAAGUUCCACUGGCAAACAAGGAAAUUAAUCCUUUGUUUUAUGGGAACAUACUGUGGUUGUUAAGAUAAAACGAAGUUGAAUCUUCCAGCUUAUGCUUAAAAUGAGAAUUAAAUAAUGAGGAAUUUUUCCAAAUUGAAAUUUUACACAUUGCUAAGUUUAGCUGUUACAGAAAAAGUCUACAUAGUCAGUUAAAGAUGAGAAAUUGCACAUUAGAAAUAGGGACCACAUGUGGGAAAAUAAAGAAUAAUUUUAAGGUAACAUAAAUAUUUAAAUAAGAAUAUUUUCCACAAAAUAUAAUUAAUCUUAAGUCAUUAGUACACCUUUGCUUAUAAAAUUAACUAUUUGAGGGGGGUGAAUUUACUGAAUCUACCAAGCUAUAUCACUAUAGUUUUUGUGUCUAACUUUUGUGUCUUCCUCUUUCUUCUCAGUUUGAAAAUAAUUCCUUAAGAUAUAUCUUCUUGCUGAUUUCACUUCUUGAUGAUUUAAAGAAACUAUUGCUUCAAUCCAGUAUUAAACCAAGGUCAGAAUAGAAAAAUCAAUUUAGAUUUAUUUUAUUUCCAACUCUGUUUUUAGACUACACUACAAAGAAACUUGACAAGAAUUAUUUAGAUCCUAGUUAGAUCUCUUUCUCUGUCAGCACUAUCUAGAUAAAAUAGUUGACUUCUCAGUGUCUAACGUUGAUCCUCUUCCUCUUUUUUAUUAACCUGAGUAAUCUUUGCAUGUUUUCCUGUACCUUUCAAAUCUACUUGUCUCUAGUUUCUUUCUACCAGUCCUUUAUUUCUGUCCAGAAGAUAAGAUACAUUUCAACUACAUACUUGGAUAUUUAGGGACAAUAAAAUCUCAUUAGGUUUGUUUGGGUUUUUUUCCUCCAAAACUUAGAGACAUUUCUUUAUUUUCAUUGUUUUCUAUGUUCUUCCUGUUAGAAAAAGAAACUUAAGGAGAGAGAAAUAUAAAUGGAAAAAAGUACAAAUUGGAAAGAAGAAUGAAAAUAUAGGAGACAUUGGAAAAUUAUUUUAUUCUUUUCUGAAAGUAUAGACUUGGCUCAAAAAUCCAAUUUCAUUAUAAAUUCUUAAUAUCUGUUUUAUUAAUAGAUUUUUAUAUUAAAAUAUUUCAGAUCAUAGUUUAUAUAUUUAUAACUCCAGACUUUUUAUCAUCUGCAUGAUAACCAAAGCAAAGAAAAAUAAUGCAAAUACAAUAAAUAUGUCUAUGUAACCAUAUAUGAUCCUCUAAAUCUGUAUUUGUAGAUUAGUUUUCCAUGGAAACAAGACAGACAUGAUUAGAAAAUGCUGGAAUGUCUUCUGUAAAAUAGUCCUUUUUCUUUCUAUUUUAGGAGUCUAUGAAUUGGCUUCUUUUCAGAUGAAACCUGGUGGCCCAGCUCUGUGGGGUGAUGCAUUUAAAAGGGCAGUUCAUGCCCAUGUAAAUCUAGGCUAUACAAAAUUAGUUGGUGUUUUCCAUGCAGAAUAUGGAGCACUCAACACAGGUAUAGUUAUCUGUUUCAUCUAUAAAAUUUCAGUGGUGAUCUACUAAUAAGUUCCUUGGAUACGUUUCUCUCUCUCAUACUGUACAUUUUAUUUUUUAUUGCCAAAUUUUUGUAUUUUUGUCAAUUUUAAGGGUUGAAAAAAACCUGUGUCACAUCUUUUUAUUUAGAAUGUUAACAUCUUUAUGAAGCCUUUUCAAACACAAAACUGCUAUUUUCCUGAUUAUCAAAAUGAUUAAAUUUUAAUAGGUGCCAGAAUCUCAAGAAAUAACCUAUUCCUUUUAAAUAUUUUUUCUUCUGAAUUUUUUUAUUGAUUUUUGAAACAACAUUUCUGGGGAGAUUGUUUCUGAGUAAAAACAUAAUUUAUUUAUUCAUUCAUGUAUUAAUUAAUUUAUUUAUACUAAAGUCGCCCCAUAAAAAUUCACCCAUUUUUAUUUGAGGCAUGUAUUUAUAUACAUGUAUGUACAUAUCCAUUGGUAAAUUUGUAAAUAUAAAUUUCUUUAAUAAAAUACGUAUUUGGAGUAUUUAACUUUUAAAUGUAUUUUUUUGUGUGCAUAGCCCUGGUGAUUGAACUCAGGACGAUGCACAUGCUAGGCAAUGCUCUACCACUGGACUAUAUCCCCAGCCCAGAGUAUUUUAACUUUUAAAUUUGAAAGAUAUUACCAUCAGAAUUUCAAGAUUUUUUUUGACAAAUUCUGAAAAUACUUGUAAAGCUUAUCUGAAAGGACAGAUGACAAAGAAUAGCUAGUAAAUAUUUGAAAGACUGAUAAUACGCAGUUACCUUUUAUCUUCUCUAUUUUAUGUACAAUGGAAAUCUGAAACCUAAUAUAGUCAGUGCUGAGCUUCCAACUCAACACAGAAAAUUCAUCUCUUUUCUGAAAUGCAUGGACCAGAAGUAUGUCAGAUUUUUGAUUUUUGGAUUAGGGAUAUUCAGCCUGUUUAUCAUAAGAAAAUGGUCAUAAUAUACAAAAAC
rnacentral:lncRNA from 1 species